UACGCUUAAGUAUAUGUUGUACAGGAAUUUUUGAUAUUUCAGGGGGCAGUUAGAUUCUGUCAAGCGUAA
rnacentral:tRNA from 1 species